UAGGGAAUAUUGGGUAAUGGGCGAAAGCCUGACCCAGCAACGCCGCGUGUGCGAUGAAGGCCUUCGGGUCGUAAAGCACUUUUGAUAGGGACGAGGAAGGACGGUACCUAUCGAAUAAGCCUCGGCUAACUACGUGCCAGCAGCCGCGGUAAAACGUAGGAGGCGAGCGUUAUCCGGAUUUACUGGGCGUAAAGCGCGUGCAGGUGGUUUAGUAAGUUGGAUGUGAAAGCUCCUGGCUUAACUGGGAGAGGUCGUUCAAAACUGCUAGACUUGAGGAUGGGAGAGGGAAUCGGAAUUCCGGGUGUAGUGGUGAAAUGCGUAGAUAUCCGGAGGAACACCAGUGGCGAAAGCGGAUUCCUGGCCCAUCUCUGACACUCAGACGCGAAAGCUAGGGUAGCAAACGGG
rnacentral:rRNA from 1 species